ACAUGCCUACAACAUAGCAUUAAUGCACAAGAUCUCAUUACAACUCUACAGUUAAGCGCACUCAGGCUAGAUUAGUACUGGGAUGGUUGAUCGCAUGGGAAGUCCUAGUGUUUUACAUGCC
rfam:Picea glauca, whole genome shotgun sequence.